rnacentral:rRNA from 1 species
GAUCAUGGCUCAGGAUGAACGCUAGCUACAGGCUUAACACAUGCAAGUCGAGGGGCAGCAUGGUCUUAGCUUGCUAAGGCCGAUGGCGACCGGCGCACGGGUGAGUAACACGUAUCCAACCUGCCGUCUACUCUUGGACAGCCUUCUGAAAGGAAGAUUAAUACAAGAUGGCAUCAUGAGUUCACAUGUUCACAUGAUUAAAGGUUUACCGGUGUAAGAUGGGGA